UAGAAACAGAAGAGGAAAGCAAAAGAGUUGCAGCAGAAGGAGAAAUCAGAGAGAUUCAAAGCACAGAAAGGACUCAACCCACUGCUGCCUGCUGCCGUUGAAGACGGAGCGGACAAUGUAAAAGGAAUGUGGGUAGUCUUAAGAAGCUGAGAGAGGCUCCUGGCUGACAGCCAGCAAGGAACAGGAUCCUCAGCCCUGCAGCCACAAGGAACUGAAUUCAGCCAACCGCCUGAAUGAGCAUAAAGCCUCCAGAUCAGAGCCCAGCUGCCCAAGAACUUGAUUUCCGCCUUGUGAGACCCACAGCAGAAAAUCCAGGCAAGCUCACCUGGACUUCUGACCUACAGAACUGUCAGGUCUUAUCAAAUUUAAGAGAAAUUUGUCUGCCGAGAAGAUAUAACUGAUAAAAGGAUGGAGGGUCAAAGGCAGGCAUGAAGAUUAGCCCUGAGCUAACAUCGGCCACCAAUCCUCCUCUUUUUUGGUGAAGAAGACUGGCCCUGAACUAACAUCUAUGCCCAUCUUCCUCUACGUUAUACGUGGGACGCCUACCACAGCAUGGUUUGACAAGCUGUGCGUAGGUCCACAUCCAGGAUCUGAACUGGCAAACACCGGGCCACUGAAGCAGAAUAUGCGAACUUAACCACUGCAUGACCAAGCCAGC
rnacentral:lncRNA from 1 species